AGUGAACGCUGGCGGUAGGCCUAACACAUGCAAGUCGAACGGCAGCACAGUAAGAGCUUGCUCUUACGGGUGGCGAGUGGCGGACGGGUGAGGAAUACAUCGGAAUCUACUUUUUCGUGGGGGAUAACGUAGGGAAACUUACGCUAAUACCUCAUACGACCUACGGGUGAAAGCAGGGGAUCUUCGGACCUUGCGCGAUUGAAUGAGCCGAUGUCGGAUUAGCUAGUUGGCGGGGUAAAGGCCCACCAAGGCGACGAUCCGUAGCUGGUCUGAGAGGAUGAUCAGCCACACUGGAACUGAGACACGGUCCAGACUCCUACGGGAGGCAGCAGUGGGGAAUAUUGGACAAUGGGCGCAAGCCUGAUCCAGCAAUACCGCGUGGGUGAAGAAGGCCUUCGGGUUGUAAAGCCCUUUUGUUGGGAAAGAAAAGCAGCAGGUGAAUACCCCGCUGUUCUGACGGUACCCAAAGAAUAAGCACCGGCUAACUUCGUG
rnacentral:rRNA from 1 species